AGAGACCAGAGACAGCAGCUGAGCCAGCAGCACAUCUGUGAGACCCGAUCAACAGACAAGAGCAACAUGCUCACCUCUGAGUGGGGGUGUUUACAAUUUUUUUAGCAUACUUGAUAUUGUAAAAACCCUACAACUGGCCUUAAACAGCUUUACGAAAAGAGAAGUGGUCUUUCUUUGACAUCAGGACUGCUCUCUCCUGAUUGUUGAUGCAGUGAAGUCUAACUUCUGGAAAGGGAUGUUUACCUGCAAGUAAAAUGAUACAGCCUCUGGAAAAGGUGCUUUUGUUUGCUUACUUCAUUGCAACUUUACAACAUAAUGUUGUAGCUCCGAUUUCUACAGAUGGACCAUUUAGUUCAUUUCAGGGCUGGCCUUCAGAGUUUGCUUUGUGCUGCAGUCUGCCUAACAAUGAGCAAGGACACAUGGGUUUCACUGAAGAAUGGUCGGAUAGUGAACAGAGUUUGAACUCAAGCAUUGGAGGGCUGGCAGAAUUAGACUACGAAAAUGCAACCCAGUGCUGCAUGUGGCCUGACAAAAAUCGUACAAGAUCUCAGAGUGAAGACAAGGAAGCUGAAGGUAAGACAACUAAAUUAAUUUCCUUACAGGCCCAGGAUAUCAUUACAGACCUGGAAG
rnacentral:lncRNA from 1 species